rnacentral:rRNA from 1 species
UAAGGAAUAUUGCUCAAUGGGAGAAAUCCUGAAGCAGCAACGCCGCGUGGAGGAUGAAGGGUCUAUGACUUGUAAACUCCUGUAAAGAAGGAAAAAAUUCCCAUUCGAUGGGAGAUGAUGGUACUUCUGGAGUAAGCCCCGGCUAACUACGUGCCAGCAGCCGCGGUAAUACGUAGGGGGCAAGCGUUGUCCGGAUUUACUGGGUGUAAAGGGUGCUCAGGCGGAUUUGUAAGUCAGAGGUGAAAUCUUACAGCUUAACUGUGAAACUGCCUUUGAUACUGCAAGCCUAGAGUAUGGAAGAGAGUGAUGGAAUAUCUGGUGUAGCAGUGAAAUGCGUAGAUAUCAGAUAGAACACCAAUGGCGAAGGCAGUCACUUGGUCCAUUACUGACGCUAAAGCACGAAAGCGUGGGUAGCAAACA